UACGUAGGGAGCAAGCGUUGUCCGGAAUCAUUGGGCGUAAAGCGCGCGUAGGUGGCCUCAUAAGUCCGCUGUGAAAGUCAAAGGCUCAACCUUUGAAAGCCGGUGGAUACUGUGAGGCUAGAGUACGGAAGAGGCGAGUGGAAUUCCUGGUGUAGCGGUGGAAUGCGCAGAUAUCAGGAGGAACACCAAUAGCGAAGGCAGCUCGCUGGGACGUUACUGACGCUGAGGCGCGAAAGCGUGGGGAGCAAACAGG
rnacentral:rRNA from 1 species